rnacentral:rRNA from 1 species
CAGUCGCCACGGUAAUACGUAGGUCCCGAGCGUUGUCCGGAUUUAUUGGGCGUAAAGCGAGCGCAGGCGGAUCGGUCAGUCUGUCUUAAAAGUUCGGGGCUUAACCCCGUGAUGGGAUGGAAACUGCCAAUCUAGAGUAUCGGAGAGGAAAGUGGAAUUCCUAGUGUAGCGGUGAAAUGCGUAGAUAUUAGGAAGAACACCAGUGGCGAAGGCGACUUUCUGGACGAAAACUGACGCUGAGGCGCGAAAGCCAGGGGAGCGAACGGGAUUAGAUACCCCCGUAGUCCCUGUCUCUUAUACA